rnacentral:rRNA from 1 species
UACGGGGGGAGCAAGCGUUGUUCGGAUUUACUGGGCGUAAAGGGCGCGUAGGCGGUCAGCACAAGUCAGUUGUGAAAUCGCUCGGCUCAACUGGGCGGGGUCAGCGGAUACGGCGUGGCUGGAGCAAGCUAGGGGGCAAUGGAAUUCCCGGUGUAGUGGUGGAAUGCGUAGAUAUCGGGAGGAACACCAGUGGCGAAGGCGGUUGCCUGGAGCUUUGCUGACGCUGAUGCGCGAAAGCGUGGGGAGCGAUCCGG